UGGGGAAUCUUAGACAAUGGGGGAAACCCUGAUCUAGCCAUGCCGCGUGAGUGACGAAGGCCCUAGGGUCGUAAAGCUCUUUCGCCAGGGAAGAUAAUGACGGUACCUGGUAGAGAAACCCCGGCUAACUCCGUGCCAGCAGCCGCGGUAAUACGGAGGGGGUUAGCGUUGUUCGGAAUUACUGGGCGUAAAGCGCACGUAGGCGGACCAGUCAGUCAGAGGUGAAAUCCCAGGGCUCAACCUUGGAACUGCCUUUGAUACUGCUGGUCUCGAGUCCGAGAGAGGUGAGUGGAAUUCCGAGUGUAGAGGUGAAAUUCGUAGAUAUUCGGAGGAACACCAGUGGCGAAGGCGACUGUCUGGCACAUUUCUGACGCUGAGGUGCGAAAGCGUGGGGAGCAAACAGGAUUAGAUACCCGGGUAGUCC
rnacentral:rRNA from 1 species